rnacentral:rRNA from 1 species
GACGAACGCUGGCGGCGUGCUUAACACAUGCAAGUCGAACGGAAAGGCCCUGCUUUUGUGGGGUGCUCGAGUGGCGAACGGGUGAGUAACACGUGAGUAACCUGCCCUUGACUUUGGGAUAACUUCAGGAAACUGGGGCUAAUACCGGAUAGGAGCUCCUGCUGCAUGGUGGGGGUUGGAAAGUUUCGGCGGUUGGGGAUGGACUCGCGGCUUAUCAGCUUGUUGGUGGGGUAGUGGCUUACCAAGGCUUUGACGAGUAGCCGGCCUGAGAGGGCGACCGGCAACAUUGGGACUGAGAUACGGCCCAGACUCCUACGGGAGGCAGCAGUGGGGAAUAUUGCACAAUGGGCGGAAGCCUGAUGCAGCAACGCCGCGUGCGGGAUGACGGCCUUCGGGUUGUAAACCGCUUUCGCCUGUGACGAAGCGUGAGUGACGGUAAUGGGUAAAGAAGCACCGGCUAACUACGUGCCAGCAGCCGCAGUAA